CCGUCGUCCUUGGCCAGGGUGAGACUACACGGUCCGGCUGCCCCUCCCUCCCUCACUGCUCGCACAAGGGGAAACACGCGCCAGGAGGAGCUGUCUUAUUACCUAAAGCUGUGCCUUAUUUUAACUACAACAAAGCAACCAUCCUCCGCCUUUUUGACUCAGUGGACGUAUAUCCUCGUGCUUCUCAAGGAUGGCACGUCACAUCCUGCCUUUGGUGCUGCUAGUGGUGGCUCUGGUGGUGAGACUCAUCCUGUCAGCGCCCAUAGACGAGGACGUGGAAGUCAACAGUAUCCACCACUCGUUUGAUAGUGAGAGGGUGGCGUCCUCCAUAUUCAACAACAUCGCCAACAUACCAUGCAGGCGUAAAUGCUAUAUCCGGGAUUACCAUGGUCGCUGCCGCCGUAACUUCUCCUGCCUCAUGGGUUGAAGAAAAACAUCUCAUGUCUUUCCUACUUUUUCUUCUUCCUCACUUUCUUCAUCUUUUUUACUAUCUUUCUCUUCUUCACUAUCUUCCUCUUGUGUUCACUUCUUCCUCUUCUUCACUAUCUUCCUUUCUUCACUUUUUCUUAUUCUGUAUCAUGUUCCUUUCUUUCUCAUCUUCACAUUGACUUUCUUUACAUUCCUCUUCUUCAUCAACCUUUACUUUAAUUUCCUCAUCAUUAUUAUUUUCUUUACUUUCAUUGACUAUUAGUUUAUCAUCUUUAGUUUUCCCUACGUCGCUUUCCUUUUUAUCACUUUGCCCUUCACCUUGUACUCUACAUCUUUGUCACCUUCACCGGCAUCUUCUCUGACGUCAUCUUCGCCCUCUUACCUAUACCACCUUUUCUUCCCUAAGCUAUCAGAAAAAAAAAUCACCAUUCUGAAACUGUCCACUCAUGGGAUCGACACCUUGAAGCUCUCUCUCGGGACUUCAAUACAGAUCACUAGGCUGAAGUUAUUCUCUUGGAACUUCAUCACUCAGAACGUGCAAAAGUUCAACUCCUUGAAUUUCAUCGACCCUCGGAACUUCACCACUCAGAAGUUUACUUAUUGAAGCUUCACCACACAGGUCAUCACUGCUAAUAGUAGAUAAACAUAACUGCUAUUUUUUCUAAAUCAAUUCUUGUUAUCUAAAUUUGUUUAACUUGUGUCAUUCUAUGUAGAUAAUCAUAAUUGGUACCUUAGUUGAGUUAAGGUUAAUGUAUUUCAAUAAUAACAAGUCAGAAUGAA